rnacentral:rRNA from 1 species
UUUUGGACAAUGGGGGCAACCCUGAUCCAGCAAUGCCGCGUGAGUGAAGAAGGCCUUCGGGUUGUAAAGCUCUUUUGUCAGGGAAGAAACAGCAGCUCUAACACAGUCUGCGAAUGACGGUACCUGAAGAAUAAGCACCGGCUAACUACGUGCCAGCAGCCGCGGUAAUACGUAGGGUGCGAGCGUUAAUCGGAAUUACUGGGCGUAAAGCGUGCGCAUGCGGUUAUACAAGACAGGCGUGAAAUCCCCGGGCUUAACCUGGGAAUGGCGCCUGUGACUGUAUAGCUAGAGUGUGUCAGAGGGGGGUAGAAUUCCACGUGUAGCAGUGAAAUGCGUAGAUAUGGGAGGAAUACCAAGGCGAAGGCAGCCCCCUGGGAUAACACUGACGCUCAUGCACGAA